AGAAGUGUAGAUAGUAUAGAGAGCCCAAAUCAAACCAAAGACACCAAAAAGGAUCCAACCAAGAAGGUUGUUGCUGAGCCCAAAUGGAAGUCCAGUUCCUUCGGUGCUCAUUCUCUCAUCCACAAGAGCCAUUGCUGUUGGAUUUGAGAUGCUUGCUGCUACUGCUGCUGCCAUCAGUGAUUCUCCUAUUCCCAAGUUUGAUUCCCCUUUUGGCUUUCCCUCCAUUGAGCAUCUCACCUUUCCAACCUUGCCAAAUGAUGGCAAUCCAACAACAGAUGAGGGACGAGAUACAGAUCCCUUUUGCACGAGGGACACAAUUGCCACCGAAGAGGUUGCAGAGAUGGUUG
rnacentral:lncRNA from 1 species